AUUGAACGCUGGCGGCAUGCCUUACACAUGCAAGUCGAACGGCAGCACGGGGGCAACCCUGGUGGCGAGUGGCGAACGGGUGAGUACAACAUCGGAACGUGCCCGGUAGUGGGGGAUAACCAGUCGAAAGAUUGGCUAAUACCGCAUACGACCUACGGGUGAAAGCGGGGACCGCAAGGCCUCGCGCUAUCGGAGCGGCCGAUUUCCGAUUAGCUAGUUGGUGAGGUAAAAGCUCACCAAGGCGACGAUCGGUAGCUGGUCUGAGAGGAC
rnacentral:rRNA from 1 species